CCAAAUAUCAGUCUAGAUGUUACUGUGAAUGUAGCGUUUAAGUGAGAUUAGCAUUAAGCCAGUUGACUUUGAAUAAAGCAGUAAUAAUCUGAGUAGGCUUCAUCCAGCUGGGUCUUAAAGGGAAAGACUGAGGUGCCACAUGAAAGAAGGAGUUCUGCCUCCAGACGGCCUUUGGAGUCAAGCCAGAGACAUCACUUUUUCCUUGAGCUCCCAGACUGCCAGCCUACCCUGUAGACUUUAGACGUGCCAGCCUCCAUACUGCAUGGAAAACCCCGCCUCAUACAACCAUGUCGCGGCCUCUUAAGUGUUGUCAAGUGAUCAGGGGUGUGUUGGAGGUUGGCUUUUGCAGCACCAGGGUCCUGGGACUGAAUCCCAUCUCAACAAGCUACAGUGUGAUUGAUUUUUCUCAACACCAACAGCAGCAGAUUAGAGAAUUAAUUAAGGGAAACCUAGAAAGUCUCCUUGACUUGGCUUACCAUGCCUGCCGGGCAGAUGGAGGCAGCAGCGCAUGCAGGAUAUUCAUUACAAACAAGUGGAUUCAGGCUCCAGCAGAUUGGGUCGGCUAACAACUCCUCUGGUCUCCAGAGCAGUAUGGAAGAAUCUGGCAUCACUGUGUCAGCCUGCCAACCCCAAACAGCCACUGCCACCUUGUGCAACAAAAGAUUUCCAUUUGUACCAACAAAAAGAGGAGUGGGUUCAUGCAUUGGCUCCAUUGGCAGAGGAAUGUGUCAAAGAGUUAUACGGUGCCAUUUUCAUGCCAGUGCCAUCAGAUGCUGCAGAGGGAAAAGGAGCUGAUCCCAAUAAGCGUUCUGAUUUUUCAUCCAGUUCACAGAAUCAAAGGAGGUGGAGCGGAAUCUCUCUCUGCUGAAAUAUUGGCUGUGGUGAGUGACUUCUCAAAAAGGACAGCGUGGAAAUAGGGGGAAAGUAACUUUCCAGUGGAGAAACCUGACAGACUCAACCUCAGUCAUGCCAUCAAGGUCGGACUCAACGGUGAUAACUCCUGUUGCCAGCACGUACCCCUGAUAUGAUGCAAGAAUGGAUGUCACUUCCGUGGGCUUCCUCCUCAAAACUCAUCGUUCCAGUCACAUGUUGUGGGGAAAAAACCCACUAGACAAAUUCCAAUAGAGGCGAAUCCUACAAAAUAAUUGACAAGUCCUUCUCGGGACUGCCUAGGGCACCAAAACCAAGUCUAAGAAAUUAUCUCAGCCAAGAAGAGCCCAAGGAGACAUGAGGAUGAUGCGUUAUGCGGCAUCCUGGACGAGAUCCUCGAUCAGAAAGAAGGUGGCGAGUUAAAACUAAAGCAAUCUUGGAGUCCGCAUUGUGGUUCAGAAGGUUAAGAACCCAGUUUACUCUCUGUGAGGAUGUGGGUUCGAUGCCUGGUCUCGCUCAGUGGGUUAAGUAUCUGGUGUUGCCAUGAGUGAGCGGUGGUGUAGGUUGAAGAUGCAGCUUGGAUCCCGUGUUGCUGUGGCUGUGGCAUAGGCCGGCAGCUGAAGCUCUGAUUCGACCCCAAGGCUGGGAACUUCCAUAUGCAGCAGGUAAGGCCAUAAAGAAAGAAACAAAACAAACAAACAGACAAACAAAACUAGAGCAAUCUGAGUAAGCUAUGGAUUUUAGUUAAUGAUAGAAUAGCAAUAUUGGUUUAUUCAUCAUAACGAAUGUACAGAGCUGAUGUAAGAUGUUACAUUAAUAACAGGGGAAACAGGGCAAGGACGGAGAUGAAAACUCUCUGGACUGUCUUUUUAAUUUUUCUGUGAACCAAAAGCUGUGUUUAAAAAUAAAACCUAUUUUAAAAGUAAUGAACGCAUGGACAUAAGGACACAUGUUUUACCUUUCACUCUGGGCUCCAAUAUGGCUCAGCUGGCCCUGGGUGUUGCCACAGCUCAUUCCAGUGGAGGGUCCCAAUACCUUGUACAUUCAUUUCAAGAGUGUAGAUGUGUCCCACUGAAUUUCAGCCAGGAUUUCUCCCCUGAAACAAUCCUGAAUCUGUAAAAACAUAAAAUGCUAUGAUUUUGAGCAGUCAAACCUCUCAACAAAUGAAGACUUUUAUAAAAAAAUUCCAUUGUCUUCUACAAAGAAGCCAAUUUCAAAUUCAGUAACCAUAACAAAAUACUUCAGAAGAACUGCUUGUCAUUUUCUUUUAAAAAUUAAAAAUAAUAAUACACUCUGGAAAAGAAUACCUUCAGAAAAAGUCACACGUCAAUGUUACACUUUUGCAGUGUUUUAAAAUGCUAAUACACUAAAUGUACACUAAAUGCUGCCAUUUCUUCCUUCUAAACAAAUAUUUUUAUGUAGACCCAACCCACUCUUGGAGUUGUGCUUGCUCUCACUUCUCACCCUUGGUAAUAUUCUUUUGAUCAUUUAAAAAUUAUCUCUUCUGGGCCCCAUAAAUUGGCACAACACUGUAAAUCAAC
rnacentral:lncRNA from 1 species